rnacentral:misc_RNA from 1 species
GAGAGUAUCAAACUCCUAAACCAUUGUGACCUUACUGUUAUUACGUUCAUCCGGCGUGCUUCGGCCGGACCGCGACCUCCUUGCUGGGAGCCCGCCGGGGAGCACGCAAACUCUUGUUAUUAUGUCUUCUCUGAGUACUACUUCAAUAAGUAA